GAGUUUGAUCCUGGCUCAGGAUGAACGCUGGCGGCGUGCGUAACACAUGCAAGUCGAACGAGGCAGAAGGAUGCUUGCAUCUUUUUGACUGAGUGGCGGACGGGUGGGUAACGUGUGGAGAACCUACCUUACACAGGGGGAUAACGGCUGGAAACGGCUGCUAAUACCGCAUAAGCAUACAGCUUCGCAUGAAGCCGUGUGAAAAGAAAAAUCGGUGUAAGAUGGCUCCGCAUCUGAUUAGCUAGUUGGUGAGGUAAUGGCUCACCAAGGCAACGAUCAGUAGCCGGCCUGAGAGGGCGACCGGCCACAUUGGGACUGAGACACGGCCCAGACUCCUACGGGAGGCAGCAGUGGGGAAUCUUGCACAAUGGGGGAAACCCUGAUGCAGCAACGCCGCGUGAGCGAAGAAGUAUUUCGGUAUGUAAAGCUCUAUCAGCAGGGAAUAGAAAAGAAGGUACCUGAUUAAGAAGCCCCGGCUAACUACGUGCCAGCAGCCGCGGUAAUACGUAGGGGGCAAGCGUUAUCCGGAUUUACUGGGUGUAAAGGGAGCGUAGACGGCUGUUUAAGUCAGAAGUGAAAGCCCAUUGCUUAACGAUGGGACUGCUUUUGAAACUAAGGAGCUAGAGUGCAGG
rnacentral:rRNA from 1 species